rnacentral:rRNA from 1 species
GACGAGAUACGGAGGAAGGUGGGGAUGACGUCAAGUCAUCAUGGCCCUUAUGUCCAGGGCGACACACGUGCUACAAUGGCCGGCACAACGGGAAGCGAGUUCGCGAGGACGAGCGGAUCCCUCAAAGCCGGUCGCAGUUCGGAUUGAAGUCUGCAACUCGACUUCAUGAAGCUGGAAUCGCUAGUAAUCGUGGAUCAGCCAAGCCGCGGUGAAUACGUUCCCGGGCCUU